GAGGCCCGUCCCUGGCCGCGCCCGGGCGCCCCGUGGGCCUCGCGCUGAGGUGCCCGGCGAUCGUUCAGCACGCGGGCUCCUGCGGCCAGUCCCGGGCGGCGGAGUCGGAGCCCGCGGGCUGGGGCCUGGCGUUCUCAAGUUACCGAGCCGCCCAGGAGCUCAGCCAAGUCUGAGAACCGUGGUCGCGCCCGGUUCCUCAGAGGGUGCGGGGGAAUUGCGCCGGGGUGCCGGAAGCAGUAACCAACUCGAAACCCACCCUUUACUGGCGUUCUUUCUUUCGUCUCCUACUUCCCUCUCCUCCUCCCUGCAUCUUGGGGCAGCUCCAUACUUAAACGCCUGCGCCCCGAUCCUUGUCUCCGGCUCUGUUUAGGGGGGGCGGGUAAUCCAAAGUAAGACACGCGCCUCGAAUGGAAUUUACAGAAAUAGAAUCAACUGGACUUGGCGAUUUACCAUGUAAAGAAGAAGGAAGAAGGAGUCAGAAGGUUUCCACUUAAAGGGAACUGAAAGGCACACACACGCCUUGGCUGGAUUCCCGGUGAAUGAAGCAACGGCUAAAGUCUCAGUGAGAACACCCGCAGGCAGCCCGCCCCACGGACAGGGAAGCACGAAAGUCGCCGGUGCAUCCUCGCCCUUUCACUUCCGGCCCCAGCGCCCCGCCCCCAUGACGCUAACACGCCGCGCCGUCGGGUUGCGUCAUCUCGGCGCGCCGCCGCUUGGCUCUUCAGUCAGGCAGACGAUGGCGGAGGUUGGCCGAACGGCGGUGUGCGACCCCGGGGCUCUGCUCCCGGGGGGCUUUUGGGAGGCGGUGGGCGUGUGGCUGGAGAGGCCGCAGGUGGCCAACAAGCGGCUGUGUGGCGCCCGCCUGGAAGGCCGGCGGAGCGCCGUCCUGCCCCGGGCCGAGGCCGGAGGCCCCCGGACGAGCGCAGGCCCCCAGCUGGGCACGGCGGGGCGCGUCCCCGAGGAGUCCCGGGGCCGGAGGGCAGCAGCCGCGGCGCCUCUGCUCGCAGGGGCCCCCGGGCAGCCCGGCAGGGCUGGCGUCGAGGAGGGCGACGUGCCCGCCUCGGAGCUGGACUCUCUCUGGGGCGAUUUUUCCCGAAGCCUCUGCGGCAAUCGGGAGAUGCUGGUCUUCCUCGCCGGCUCCCGGGCGGGGUCGCGGCCGGAGGCGCAGCACGAGCUGGACGUGGUUCUCAGAACCGUCAUCCUGAAAUCGAGCCCGCAUCGCCCGCUUCUCGCUCCGACGAGGGAAAUGGUCGUGCAAGAUGUCCUCAAUGGAACUGUAACUUUUUUACCUUUGGAAGAUGAUGAUGAAGGGAAUUUAAAGGUCAAGAUGAGCAAUGUGUAUCAAAUUCAGCUCAGUCGUUGCAGAGAAGAAUGGUUCAUAUCCGUUUUAAUUUUCUGUCCAGAAAGAUGGCAUCCAGAUGGAAUUGUUUAUCCCAAACUCACCUGGCUUGGGGAGGAGUUGCUGACCAAGCUGGCCAGGUGGUCUGUGGAGAGCGGGAAGAGUGGGUUUAAAAGCACCCUGUCCCUCAUCUCCUUGCUGAAGUACAGCAGGGCCUACUGGGCGCUUAAGGAGAAAUACAAGGACAUGGUCAAGGUGUGGCCUGAAGUAACUGAUCCUGAGAAGUUUGUGUAUGAAGAUGUGGCUAUUGCCACCUACCUGCUGAUUCUAUGGGAAGAAGAAAGAGCUGAGCGGGGAGUGACAGCUAAGCAGUCCUUUGUUGACUUAGGAUGCGGAAAUGGUCUUCUGGUCCACAUCCUGAGCAGUGAGGGGCAUCCAGGCCGAGGGAUUGAUAUCCGAAGAAGAAAAAUCUGGGACAUGUAUGGACCACAGACUCGCUUGGAGGAAGGUGCAAUCACACCAAGUGAUAAGACCCUUUUCCCUGACGUUGAUUGGCUAAUUGGUAACCAUUCGGAUGAACUAACCCCGUGGAUACCUGUCAUUGCGGCCAGGUCUUCCUACAACUGCCGCUUCUUUGUCCUUCCCUGCUGCUUCUUUGACUUUGUUGGGAAGUACCAGCGGAGGCAGAGCGGGAAGACCCAGUACCGGGAAUACCUGGAUUUCAUUACGGAAGUGGGCUCGACCUGUGGAUUUCACGUGGAGGAGGACUGCCUUAGGAUUCCUUCUACCAAGAGAGUUUGUCUCGUCGGGAAAUCCAGAACAUACCCCCCCUCCAGAGAGCUGUCCCUCGAUGAGCAGAGGACCCGGUACAUUAACAGCAGGCGGGGCUGCCCUUUGGGCCCACCUGGCCGGGAACCUGCCCCUGCUUCCCCCCAGGCUGCUGCCAGCAGUGCCCAUCACCCCGGUGGCCACAGAGCCCUGCAUGGCGCAGCUGGGCACGCGCCUGAGGCCCGGGCCUCCGAACUGUGGCUGCCUGGAUUUCAGCCCAGAGAGAAAGCUCAGCGCACAAGGAACUGUGCUGCCCUCCCUCGAGACUUUGUUGACCAAGUGGUGUUGCAAGUGGCACAUUUGUUGUUAGGUGGGAAGCAAUUAACAGGAAGUUCUCCGAGUGGCACUUUGAAGACCUGGAAUCGAGGAGAGAGCCUGUCCUUGGCUGAGGUAGCCAGUGAGCUGGACAGGGAGACUCUGCAGAGGCUGAAGCGAGAAUGUGGAGGCUUGCAGACGCUGCUUAGAAACAACCAUCAGGUGUUCGAAGUUCUGGACGGGAGAGUUCACAUUCGCGACUGGAGAGAACAGAAGCCACCGAAGAAAAAGCAACCGGAAGCAAAACGGAAACUGGUCCCUGAAGCUUUCAAAACCCGUGUCUGCUGGUUUUUCAUGCAUCACCCUGACGGUUGUGCUCUGCCUUCACCCUGCUGCCCGUUUGCCCACGGGCCUGGGGAGCUGCGGCCGUCACUGACUGCCAGGACGGAAGAGCGGGUCUCGUGAGCUGCUCUGCCCUGUGAGCAGGGGCCUGGUGCUGGGAGGCCAUGCCGGAGGUGUCCCGGCUCCUCAGAGCCCUGUGGCUUCUGUGCUGGUGGGGGCUCCACCGGCUUCCGUCUGCUGUCCUCCACAUCACCAUGGUAUCGUGGUCAUGUGAGACUGACAUGAGCAGCUGGAGCCACUCUUGCCCCACCCCUUUGCUUGCUGGGGUGUCUUAGAUCAGGCCCUCUAUCCUGUGUUCAGCAGCAUCUUAUCAGAAAGAGAGUGGGAGAGUUCUUACAGCGACUUGGAGUUUGGAAGACAUAGGAAGUGCUUGACUGGCCUUUCUGGGCGCCGUUCUGGCUUCUGGACGCUACGAGUUCGGGGUGUGAGAAGAACAGGGUACCCCGAGAGGUUCUGUCAUUAGGGGAAGAGGCUGCUCGCAAGGAAGUGCAUUAAGAGUGGGCGAGCCGCGGAGUUUCCCAGCUCCUGGCUCCCCUCUCAUCACUGUGGGCUUUUUUACCAUACCUCAGUCUAGUGCGGGAGACAGAACUUUUGGGAGGCCCUGGACCAGGAGAGGCUGGGUUGGCCUGCAAAGAUUGCUCCCAUCUGGACAGGAGAAUGAAGGUCAGACAGCAUCCACGUCUCACCGUGUUGCUCACAGAGACCCCGCCCUUGUUCGCCCUCCGCUGGGGGCUGCAGGGGCUGCGCCUCAGUUUCCUUGUUUGUCAGACCUUGAGGAUGCGACAAAGAGGAAAGGGGUUACAGUUGUUACUAACAGAAGAGCUUGUCCUAGACGAGCCGCUCUGUGAGCACUGGGAGCCAGAACCCUGUGCUGUGAGAUUCGAAGGAGACGACCACCACAUCUGUUCUCCCAGCCUGAUGGCCAGCCUCCACUUCUCAAAACCUGAAAAUCAUCCUCAGCUCCGUGGACGAAUCCCGCUGCUUCCCCUGGUGGCCGGCUAGCUCAAGCUCAUCUCCCCGCACUUGCUCUGACCCCUCAAGACUUCAGCUUGGACCGCUGCUUGUUCCUGAACCCUCCAGACCUGCGCAGCCCCGUGGAACCUCCUGCAACGGUGGGAGUGUUCCAGAUCUGCACUGUCCAAUGUGAUAGCCACUGCACUGGCCACUUGAGAUGUGGCUGCUGAGACUGAGGAACUGAGUGUGUAAUUUUAUGUAAUUAUGAUUGAAAUUCAAAUAGCCACAUGUGGCUGAGGGCUAACACAUUGGACAGAGAGAGCUCUAGACCGCCGCUGCUCAGAGUGUCGUCUGACAAUCAGGGUUAGCCUCGCCUGGGCAUUUGUUAGAAAUGCAGAAUCGUGGGCCCCCCGCCCCAGCCUGCUGAUCCGAAUCUCUGAGCUGGGCCCCAGCCCGCUGCAGCCCCCUGUGUUUACCGCUCUCUGGGUGGGGUCUGGUGCUGGGGCUGGGGAGGUGCUGCUGCAGUGCGCUGCACACCUCAGCCUUUUCACAAGCUGUUUCCUCGGCCUGGAAGUGCUUCUCUCUCUCCUCUGCUUAGCACAGUCCUGUUGUUCAGAAUCCAGGUAAAGCCAGCUCUUGGGGAGGCCCUCUCUGUUGGCCCCUCUGCUGCACCGGUAGGAUGGCGCCGUCACGCUGCGUCACCAUCUUUCGUUGAACGGUCUGUCCCCGGGAGCUCCUUGGGUGGGAGUGACCCUGGUCCUCCCUGUGUCCAGCCAGGCGCAGGCUAUUUCGGAUGCUCAGAACUGCCUGCUGAGUAACCCCCGGCCUGGCGAGGUCUGCGCUGCUGCCGGUGGCCUCUUUUCUGCCCUGGCACUUUGCUUUGGAAUCAGGGUUUUGGUCUUUGGAAAUCCUUAUGGCCAUUGGGAGGGUUCAAGUCUUAAAUUUCCUUUCAAGGGCUAAUUUUUUUUUUUUGCUCCUUUUUUAAGAGUAUAGAUUUUUCGUUUAGUUGGAAGAGUCAGGAAAUGCAGAUGUUGCUGUGGAUGGUUCAGAAUUCCCCGAGGGGUGAACUUGUUGAAUCCAUCUUGAAAGUGGGGGCCCUCAGCCAGGACCACGGCUGCUGACACAGGCGGAGGCGGGGCGCGGGCUUCUGUGUCAGAGCGGUCCCCGCAGGUCCUGACACCUGGACUCAGCAUUCUCCCUGCCUGUGCGAACGCCCUCCCUGGGAGCUGCUGGGCCUGGGGCAGGCCCUGAGGGAGGGGUCAGGGCUGGGAUCCUGGCCGCUGGGCAAGAGGGGCUGCCUCCGAUCCCACCUUGGGUGGGUGCUUCCAGCCCACACGGCUGCCCCGGGCCCUGGCUCCGUGAGUUCAGUGGGGGCUCGGUUCUCCGUCCUCAGGGCCCAGGGCCCCAGCUCCCGCUGCAGGCCCUCCCUCAGUCCCGGAACCCAGCCUCUGAGACUCACCCCAUAGGCCACACUGGGCAUUAGCAGCCUGCUGCACAAAGCCGGCUACCAGGCAGUGGGGCAGAAGCAGGGUGCCAGGAGAACCGAUUCAGGGUUGGGAGAACAACAAAACCAGCCCAAAAGAUGUGGGUGUGAAUGUGGCCUCAGCCUCUUUGAGCUGCAUGGCCUUGAGCAAGUUAUGGGAGCCUCAGUUUCCCCUCUGUAAAAUGGGAAUGGUGACGUCUGCCACAUGGGGCGAGAGACUCGCAUGUCCACCCAGUGCAGACCCUGGUGUGUGGGAGGGCAGGCCCAGUCUCCCUCCACCUGAGACGCUUGAGCCCUUCAGCCGGUAGAUGUCAGCUGACCUCAGUCCCACUCGCUGCUGCCCCUCUGGGCCAGGCUCCUGCUGGGGACACGGAGGAGCCUCACGCCUGGCCUGGAUCUUGAGGACCCCGAACCCAGCAGGGACCUCAGCCGUGCCUAAGCACUGUGCCGGGAGAGAGGAAGGCAGAUUCCGGGGGCCUGGGGGACGCUGGGCCUUGCUGAGGAGGCAGGGAGAUGGGAGGAGGAGACGCACAAGGGUGUUUCAAAUGAUGAUCCAUGGUUGGGGGGGGGCGGGGUGUGUUCCAGGCAGGGAACAGCACUGGCCAAGGCACAGAGACAGGCAGGAAACGGCUGGGUGCAGGCGGUGGGUGAGGUGGGCACGGGGUCAGGCCGCAGGACCCACAGGUGCUCACACCUGCCACCUGCUGCUGCUUCCUUCCGGGACUCCCUGCCCUCCUGCCCCAGCUUGCCGACGCCCUAGACAGGCUGAGUCCCCACUUCUGGGGCCCAUGGUAGCAUCUCACAGGCCUGGCGAUGAGGUCAGGGCCUUACCUGCUCAGCCACUGGGGCCACGGCCCCGUGCUGUGGUCACUCAGGGUUCACCUCACAGAACCCUUGGAGAGAGGCAUCUUCCAAAGGCAGGCUUGCUCUCCUGAUGCUGCAGAGUGGUGCUGGCACCUUCUGAAGGCACCAGACUGUCUUCUGGGCCACAGAACUCCGUCCCGAGGACAAGGUUCCCCCACUGCCUCUCUCCCACACCCUUGGCUGCACCAGGAGACAUGGCCGCGAGGAGGGGUCUGGGGGACAGGCAAAGGGAGGGGGGCUCAGAAGGCGCCCUCAUGCACACACCCACCCCAGAGAUGUCCAGGGUCCUUGCCCUCCGUGAAGCCACCUCCCGGGUCUGCUCCACCCCCAGCCUACGCCAGGCCAAGGAGUCCACGGGGCUCUGUGCUGGAAGCUUCUUCCUACAGAGGAGACACUGGCCAUUCUGUCCCUCUGUGACCCAUAAGCAAGGAUGCAGGUGACAGACGGCUCUCUGUGGGGCGCUUGGAGAACUGGCACUGCCUGUCAGGUCCUCAGACGGUGAGAAGCAGGUGACUUUUCUCAUCACCCUUUUUGCGAGGGCUGCUAGGAAGCUCAGAAGCAAGUUGUUCUUUAUGGAAACAUCAGUGGUAUAAAGUGUUAACAGCAGCCCCACAGCUGCUCACUGCAUCCAGCUCUGCCCCGCAGCAGGUGCGCUCAGGCCAGUCUCAGGGUUCCCAAGCCUCGGUCGCGUCGUCUGCAGAAUGGGCUCAAGAGAAACAAGCUCACAGGGCUGUUUGGGGAAUUAAAUGAGAUAUUUUGUGAGAAACACUCUUAACAAUGCGGUUGUCAUGUGAGGCAGGAAGUGUUGAUGUUUUUCUGCUUCUCAGCGGGAGGUGGAAUGAGCGUGAAGGACCAGUGGGUGGCACUAGGUAAGGAAUAGAUUUUUCCUGGUGGAUGGAUAAAAAGUUUCGGCAGCCCUAGCAGGUAGUAACUGACUGUUGAGAGGUCUCGGAUCUGGGUCUGAUGUGGGCGUGGUUCAGCUCCCAAAAAAAGGGGCAGCAAAAUGCAUUUGGGAUGUUUUGAAAGUGGAGCUGGGCAGCAGACACCCCAGGAAGGUGCAAGAACUCCAGGUCUAGGUCUGAGAUGCCGGCAGAAGGCGAGGGGUGCAGGUCCCGAAGGGCAGGAGGUCUGCCUCACCCAGCCCACGCUUACUGCGCACCCACAGUUUCUGAGCCCCUCCCUCUCCCUAGGCCCCCCUUGGUCAUGGGGUGCAGAGAGCAGUGACCAUGGUUCCCACCAGGCUCGGGGAUGGGCGCCUGAGGGAGGGUGCUGGGGGCACACGGUUCACGGCAGCUCUGCAUGUCUGGGGCAUCCUCCAAGGGCCCGGAGGGGGCUGGAGGUGGCACUGUGCCCAGGAGGAGUGGCUGGGGCUGGGCGUAGGGCUUCAGCCAGGGGAGAGAAGAGACAGUCCCAGGGGUCUUGGGUGGAGAAUAGAACAGCUUGUUCUAUGCCACCCUCCAUACGGAACACGGAACAUCCAACACGGAAGCCAGACUGAGGGCAGAUUUCUGCUCAGCCCACGAAAGAAAAAAUGUUUGGAUCAGCAGAGCUGACAAGAGGUGGGACACACUGCCUCCGGGGAGUGAGCACCCUGUCAUCAAGGGUGUGCAAGUGGAGGCUGCACGACUAUCUGGCAGGAAUUCUGGGGGAUAUCUUCCCUGUUGAUAUUUGGGGGUGGGGGCGUGAACUUGAUCAUUUGCAGAUCCCUGUUAAUUUAGACAGUUUGUUUCUGGGAGUGGACAUCAUGGUGGAACUGUGGGCGCUGUGGAGCCUGGCUGUUGGGACCCAGAAUCUCCUCGUCAUGCUUCCAGUCUGCUGUGUGAUCUCAGGCAAGCCCCUCACCCUUCCUGGGCUCCAGUCCCUCCAUCAGUAAAACCAGAGGGCUGCUCGAGUGGCUCCUGAGGCUGCUCUCGGUGCUGACACCUGCUUGGGUUUGUGCACCGAUGGGGUUGAUGCCACCGCGGGACAGCGGGGGUCCUGCCUCUUCCUGGAUCCUUGGGGAGGGAACUCCCUACUUCCGGGAGGAAACACAUCACUGGUCCUUUAAGCAGCAGCUGCAUUUGCCAACAGAAGGGCUGUGAUUGUCUUUUUCAAGGAGAGAAGAUAAGUUGAUUUUGAUGACUCAUCACAGGGCAUUCUCCAAAACGGGUCUGCGAACUCCUGUUAAUCGGCGACGGUGGCUAAUGGUGUGUUUCUAGAGCACUCCCCUGGUCAUGACUUCAGAAAUCCUCCUCCGUAGUCCAUGGAGUCAUUUUCAUAGUGGGCAGGCGCCCUGAAGUGGAAACGCUGUCCUGCCUUCUCCCUGUUGGCCUUGGUUGGCGCAUCUGGAUGCUUCCGGCAGAGUGGUCGUCAGGGCUGUGGCGAGGGACCCUCUAUGUAUUUGUUGUCUGCUGCUGUGUAAUGAAUUGCAACGAACUUCACGGCCAAAGGAACACUGUCCUCUCACAGUUGCUGUGGGCCUGGGCUCUGAGCGCGGCUUAGCCGGGUCCUCUGCUCAGGUCCUCGUCAGGCUGCUGCUGUCUUCUUGGCUGGGGCUGUGCUCUCAGCUCAAGCCUCACUGGUGAAGGGCCUGCUGCUGAGCUCACGUGGUUGUUGGCAGCAUUCGGUGCCUUGCUGGCUGUCGGCCAGAGGCUGGCCUCAGCUCGCUGCCACGUGGCCCUGUCCUGAGGCCCGUUCACCGCGUGGCAGCUUCUUCAGAGCUGGCAAGGGAGAGCGCCCCCUGGCAAGACUGCUGACACCCUCUCGUUUGGUUACUGCUGAAGUGACGGCCCAUCACCCUUGCAGGGUCCUGUUGGUUAGAAGCCAGUUGCAGGCCCUGCCCACACUCUGGAGGUUACUCGCGAACACAGGAGGUGGGCCAUGGGGCCACUCAGAGUUGGUGCUGUUGUCUGGGCCAGCCCACACCAUUUUAUCCACCCUUCAGACGAGCACACCCUGCAGCAUGGGCAGGGGCUGGAAUCCCAUCAGAGUGAGACGGGGGCAUGCCCUGUGCGCCUCACACUGGCACAUGGAAGGUGGAAGAGCUGGGUUGGCAUCACGGGCUGUGUGACCAUGGGUGGGCCACCUCCCGUGGGGGCUGCUCCCUCAUCCGUAAAGUGAGGAGGGGGUGACCUUGAGGGGUCCCAGCCCAUUCUCUGCUGAGGAUAUCUGCCCCCUGCCCCCGGUUGCAGGUGCCACAUUUGGGGGGCUGCUCUCCCUCACAAACCCUCCUGUUCUCCAAGGACACUGACUGGGCCCUCCACAAAGUUAACCCAGGUCUGACACUGUCUGCCUGGCAUAGCGUCAGACCCCACAGGUUAAGGGCUCUGUCCCACAAGACUCCCUCCCCUCCCCCCCUUCAGAUGCCGGUCACAAGUCCAGGUUGUCACUUGUGCUUUGGACCUCCUGGCUGAACAUCAGAGGUUCCCAUGACCCCCUCCUCGGGUUCCAUCAUUUGCUAGAGUGGCUCACAAACUCACAAAAAUGGUUUACUUACCUUAUCACACCUGCCACCUCCCCACGGCCCCUGGCAGGGGGCCUUCCAUUCCGCCAGCCCCCAGCCCCAGCUGAUGGAUCCAAGCCUGAGGAGCUGGCCCAAAGGAACUGCCCAGAGCGACAGGUGCUUGCUCAGUGGAACCUGAACCAAGGGGUGUGGAGUCUGGUCAGACAGAGGGUCCUAGCAGCAAGGCCAUAUGGGGCUGUGUGCCCAGUGGCGAGGGGCAGAGCAUGCUGGCCCAGAAGUGACCUCUGGGGCAGUCUCCUGACCUUAAACUGUAGGUGAUGGGUGGCCCUGCCAGGUAGAGGACUGAGUGGGGUGACCAGGCCGCACACCUCGGAGGGCGUGGCGCCGAGUCAGUGCCCAGUGAGAUGUGGAAGUCAGCUGCUGUGUACGGAAGCUGGCGAGCAGUGGUCAUGCUGGGGCUGCUGUGACUGUGCGGGGGGAGCCUCACCCUGGGGGAGGCCGGGCGAGUUCCGUUGUAGCUCUGCUGACCGAGCCUGAGAUGGGUUUCUUU